AGCGCCGCUCGCGAUACCUUGCGUCCGUCUCUCUUCAUGUCGGGUUGGACAGCACUGGCGGACAUUGGUUCCCUAAUUUACUGACUUAUGAGUAAUGCGCCGUGAGGCUUGAUCCUAUCCCUUGACCCUCAAUGUCACUGUCUCUCUUCAGCUUCCCUCGCCGGGACCACAAACCCGGCAGCGCUCGCUACAUCCACCCCCUUAUUCCUGGCGACCAUAGCGGUGUGGAACCACCCGAUCCCUUCCCGAACUCGGAAGUGAAACGCACCCGCGCCAAUGGUAGUGUGGCUUAAGCCAUGUGAGAGUAGGUCCUCGCCAGGA
rnacentral:rRNA from 1 species